UCACAUGGGCGGCCAGAUCUCACUUCAAUAAUUAUCCACUGUAGCUGUAAUGAAUAAAUGAAAUCAUAGAGUAAUUGAACAACUGGUGGAAACCAAUGCAACGUGGACUAUGAUUAAUAUCCUAAAUUAGAACCAUGUGUUUCAAAUAAACGAAAACUUUUGAAUUUACCGGGAGAUCCUGUUUUGCUCAUUGAAAAUUCAUUCUGAACGAUCCCCAUGUUCAUCAGCUUGCUGUUCCAUCGACCCUUCUGCUCUUCCUCAACCACAAGACCAACUAAAAGCUCUCAACCCAAAGGUUUGUUUUUGUUCUGUUUGGUCUUUGAGUAACGAUCAUCUGAUUUACUUAUCUUUCCAACUCAAAAAGUACGAAAUGAAAUGUUUGUUGAUCCUUUUCAGAUAUUUCUGCCAAUAGGCAUAUGAAGUAGUAUAACUUGAACUUUGACGAUGAGUUUGGGAUGACUUUUGGAAUUGUGAGAAGUGGCUAAAAUCGCUUAAUGGACUAUGGUCACAAAGUCAAAAGUGAUUUUGAAAAUUCCACAAGUACAUGAAAAACACUUUGAAAGCACUUAAGUAUUUAUUCUCCAAAAUUGCUUGUAAGAGAAGUGAUUUACUCCAAGAAAAAAAAAUCUAAAAGUUUAUAACAAACACACUUUAUUAUUGUUAUUUGUGAUUGGCAUCAAAGCUUGUUGCUUACUACUUUUCACCCUAUUUAUUUCUUAAUGAAUGACUUCUGGUUGAGCUUUCAGCAAAUAUAUUUUGCUACAGUGGGCAGAAGCAAUUGAAAGUUUGGAUGAUGGAGUCCCAGGAUCGGAUAAGAGCUUUGGCAUGAAGCAAAGGCUAGAUGAUGAUAUUGAAAUCGAUGAAAAAUAUUGGGAGAAUGAUUUUUGUAUUCCAACCUGCCAAAAGUGCAACGGAGUGCUCAAACCUGAUGAAAGGGGAAGGCCUUUAAUAACACUAGAGUGAAGCAUAGAGUGAAGUAUGAUUAUUCGAUUAGUAACAAGCUAGCAGAUAUGAUGAUUAUUCAUGGAGGAAAUAUGGCCAAAAGCCAAUCAAGGGUUCUCCCACACCCAAGAUAAUUGAAGUCAUAUCGGGUUGAAAGCUAAGAGAUUAUGCAGAGAUGGCCAAGCGACCGUUGAAAAUUGAAGACUGAGAAGGCAUUUAGGAUUUUUAAUUAUUUAAUUCUUGUAUUAGAAUCUUUU